GUUUUAUCGGAGCUGAAGUGAAAUCUGAAGAUAAAGCAGUAGAUCAAAUUGAUGGGCAUGACAGGAGGCAGGACCAGCCAAUGACUGAGUCACAUUCCGAUGAUCAUCCCAUUCAUAAAAUAGGGGGAAACGGGCGCGGCUGAAAGCGGGAGAGGUGGAUUUAAGACGAUUUUGAACGGAUCCCGGUUCGGGAACCUGCGGCGCGCUGUUCAUGCUUCACAUGGGUAUCUUCGCACGCUGCAGGAAAUCGGCAGACCGUUCCUCCAGGGUCAUCUGCGGCCCCCUGGAAUUAUUCAUUCAAAUCCAGAACUCCAAUUACAGCGGUCCUUGAAUUGCGCAUCCAUCCGGUCGGGUUCCGGGACUAAUGAAAAGGCUGUGGUUCUCCGGAGGAUGACUUUUCUGCAUUCCGGAGUCUUUGGAAUCUGAUUCCAUCGGACGAAAAGGUCACUCCCAAGUGGACGGAAAACUAAAAAGAGACUUUAGUGGCUUUUAGGCCCAAAUAUUUCCAUUUCAGGACCAAAUAUUUUUAACCGAGUUUCACUUUUGUUUUUUUUUAUGUUGUGACAGUGAAGUUCUGCUUAAACAUCAGACACGUCAAAUUUCAUCAAGUUCCCAAGACUUUCAUCAAAGCCUCACAAACAACGGUCAUGUUUUUUGGAAAUAAAAAGUCUGACA